rnacentral:rRNA from 1 species
AUCUUAAUAAAUUAUUUUUUGUUUUGUUUUUUUUAAUUAAAAGAAGUUAGUGAUUUUUAUAGUAUAUUUUAUUGAAAUAUUAAUUUUAAUUAUAGUUUAUUAGUAUUGUGAAAGAAUUUUGAAAUAUAGUGAAAUAUUUAAGUUUUUAAAAGAAGAUUUAAUUUGUUGUACCUUGUGUAUCAGGGUUGAUUAAAAUUUCCUUACUUAUGUAAGUUUCCCGAAUUGAGGGGAGCUAGAAAUAAAUUUAUUUUACUGUUGAAUAAUUACUUAUAAUUUAUUUCUCGGAGUGAAAUGUUAUUCGUCCUUCACUAUAUCUGGUUUUUCUGGAAAUUAAUUUAAUUUAGUUUGCUUUUAUUAAUUGUUCUUUUUUCUGAUCGAUUAUGAAUGUGAGUCAAUCUGAGUCGGGAUAAGCUGGCUUAGAAAUUUUCAAUGAAAUAUUAAUUUUUAAGAUAAAGUAGGAUUAGAAAUUUCCAUCUUAGUUAUUUUGUUUUAAUUAAUUCUUUUUAGUAUUUUAUUUUUAUUAUUCAUGGGUUUUUACAGAAAUAAUUAAUUUAAUACUAUCUUUUUUGUAAUAAUGAUUAAAUUAGUACAGUUUGUUGUCUAUUGUUUUUUUUUUUCUGUUAGGUUAAUUUAAGGAAUUCGGCAAGAGCUUUUCCGCCUGUUUAUUAAAAACAUGUCCUUUUGAUUAUGAUUUAAGGUCUGACCUGCUCAAUGAGGUUUUAAAUAGCCGCGAUAACUUGAUCGUGCGAAGGUAGCAUAAUCAUUAGUUUUUUAAUUGAAAACUGGAAUGAAGGGUUGGACGAGAUUGGGGCUGUCUCAAAUUUAUUAAAUUGGAACUUUAUUUUUAGGUUAAAAAGCCUAAAUACUUCUUAAAGACGAGAAGACCCUAUAGAGUUUUAUAUUUUUAUUUAAUGGGUGUUUUUGGUAUUAAAUUUACUUGUUAGUUUUAAAAUAUUUAGUUGGGGUGAUUAAAUAAAUGGUUAAACUUCUUUUUUUUAUUACACUGAUUUGUGAUUUGAUGAUCCACUAUUUGUGAUUAAAAGAUUAAAUUACCUUAGGGAUAACAGCGUAAUUUCUUUUGAGAGUUCUUAUCGAAAAUGGAGUUUGCGACCUCGAUGUUGGAUUAAAGUUAAUUUUUGGCGUAGAAGUUAAAAUAUUUGGUCUGUUCGACCAUUAAAACUUUACAUGAUCUGAGUUUAGACCGGCGUGAGCCAGGUCGGUUUCUAUCUUGAGAAUAUUUUAAUAUCUUAGUACGAAAGGACCAGUUAUUAAAUAAAUUAUUUUAAUAUUGAAUUACAUUAAU